AGCGAACGCUGGCGGCAUGCCUAACACAUGCAAGUCUGACGGGCGGGGGCAACCUCUGUCAGUGGCGGACGGGUGAGGAACGCGUAGGGAACGUACUCCAAGGGUGGGGGGACGAACCGCGGGAACUAGCGGCUAAUACCGCAUGGGGCCUUUAGGGAGACCUGAAAGGGGAGACCUGGGGCCAAAGGCUGGGGAGACCUAGUCGCCUGUGGA
rnacentral:rRNA from 1 species